GUUUGCCUGUGCACUUGGCUCAGUAGCUUAGGCAGGAUUUUGGUUCUUUGCCAUUCAUUUGCAAUGUUUAUUCCUUUUAUGUGGCUCUUAAUUUAUUUUAAAUGUUCUUUCUAGUAUUCUAAUAUCCUUAUUUAUGUUUUAUUGUUUCAUUCGUUUACUACUUUUUUGGGAUGAAAAAAAGUGCAGUUUGAGUUCGCUAGAAUAGUCGUGAUUGAAUUUUAUUUUUGUCUGUAUCUUUGA
rnacentral:misc_RNA from 1 species